AUCUGUUUUGGAUUCUUUCGUUUUUGCCCUGGUAAAAACAAAGGAUAAAGGGAAUCUGGUGAAAAUCCAGAGCGAUCCGGUCACUGUAAUUCGUUAAGUCUCCUUAUGAUGCCACUGGAAUGAAAACCGGGAAGGCAAGGAGAAUAUAAUGCGAUGAGUCAGGAAACCUACUGGACAGAGUGCUAAUAA
rfam:Eubacterium limosum KIST612, complete genome.